CACAAAUAUGAAAAGCAGACCCUCAUUGGGGGCGUAAACGUCACGGCCGUGUCCGCCAAAUAGCGUCAUUGCCUGUUGUGCUGACGCGGCGGGGGGUAACGCCCUUUUGGGCCAGUCUGACUCUAUAUUCCUACAAUGCUAUACUUACACCCAUGUCCUUUUGCGUACUACUUGUUUUCCUUGGCGGGUUCGCCCGCCAAUUGGACCCAAUUUAAACCUUUUUUGUAAUUGCAAAUUCAGCCGUCAGCAAAACAAUGUAAUAAAUUA
rnacentral:misc_RNA from 1 species